GGAGGGAUCAUUAAAGAGUUUUAAAAAACUCCAACCCGUGUUAAUUUUACCUACAAAUCGUUGCUUCGGUAGAGGAGGCCCCUUGGGCGGAGACUGCCGAAGGUUUUGAAACUUUGAAUUUUAAAUAUCUUUCUGAGCAUAUAUAUAAUAGUUAAAACUUUCAACAACGGAUCUCUUGGUUCUGGCAUCGAUGAAGAACGCAGCGAAAUGCGAUAAGUAAUGUGAAUUGCAGAAUUCAGUGAAUCAUCGAAUCUUUGAACGCACAUUGCGCCCGCUGGUAUUCCGGCGGGCAUGCCUGUUCGAGCGUCAUUUCAACCCUCAAGCCUCUAGUAAGGCUUGGUAUUGGGGCACGCAGGCUGUUGGCCUGGGGCUCCCAAGUCUAUCGGCGGGCUCGCCUGGACUUCUGAGUGUAGUAACUCGUGGUAAAACGCGCCUCACCCGGUAUGUCAGGUGGGUUCUUGCCGCUAAACCCUCAAUAUAACAUAAGGUUGACCUCGGAUCAGGUAGGAAUACCCGCUGAACUUAAGCAUAUCAAUAAGCGGAGGAAAAGAAACCAACAGGGAUUGCCUUAGUAACGGCGAGUGAAGCGGCAACAGCUCAAAUUUGAAAUCUGGCCCUAGGCCCGAGUUGUAAUUUGCAGAGGAUGCUUUUGGCAAGGUUUUUACCGAGUCCCUUGGAAUAGGGCGCCACAGAGGGUGAGAGCCCCGUAUGGUUUGAUACCGAGCCUUUGUAAAGCUCCUUCGACGAGUCGAGUAGUUUGGGAAUGCUGCUCUAAACGGGAGGUAAAUUUCUUCUAAAGCUAAAUAUUGGCCAGAGACCGAUAGCGCACAAGUAGAGUGAUCGAAAGAUGAAAAGCACUUUGAAAAGAGGGUCAAAUAGUACGUGAAAUUGUUGAAAGGGAAGCGCUUGUAACCAGACUCGAUCCGGGUGGAUCAUCCAGCGUUCUCGUUGGUGCACUCCGCCCGGCCCGGGCCAGCAUCGGUUUUCGCCGAGGGACAAAGGUGCCGGGAACGUAGCUCACUUCGGUGAGUAUUAUAGCCCGGUGUGUAAUACCUCGGCGGGGACCGAGGACCGCGCUUCGGCAAGGAUGCUGGCGUAAUGGUUAUCAGCGACCCGUCUUGAAACACGGACCGAGGAGUCAAGCAUUAGUGCGAGUGUUUGGGUGUAAAACCCGCACGCGUAAUGAAAGUAAACGUAGGUGAGAGCUUCGGCGCAUCAUCGACCGAUCCUGAUGUAUUCGGAUGGAUUUGAGUAGGAGCAUUAACGCUUGGACCCGAAAGAUGGUGAACUAUGCUUGAAUAGGGUGAAGCCAGAGGAAACUCUGGUGGAGGCUCGCAGCGGUUCUGACGUGCAAAUCGAUCGUCAAAUUUGGGCAUAGGGGCGAAAGACUAAUCGAACCAUCUAGUAGCUGGUUACCGC
rnacentral:misc_RNA from 1 species